AGGCAAUGGCUGUUAGAUUGGAAACAAAACGCUACAGAUUUUCACUCUAUGAUUAUGGCAGUGGCUAUAUGGCACAUAUGGGAGAAUAGAAAUGCCUACCGUAAUGGUGAGGCUUUAAUUCAUCCUCUUCGUAUGGUGGGAAAGAUCAAAGCUUAUGUUGAAUUUAUUAAUAUGCAUUCUUUCAGCUCGACCACUUCCAUUAGACGUGAGACCUUGAAGUCGAACCAAAGCUGGUCUCCGCCGUCGGAGGGGUUGAUGCUCGUCAAUGUGGAUGCAGCGAUCUUCUCCCAAUCUGCAAGAGCGGGCUUUGGAGUGGUGAUACGUGAUCACCGGGGAAGGGUGCAGGUGGCGAACAGAGGUUACUUUGAAAGAGUUCAGAUUCCUGAAGUAGCAGAAGCCAUGGCACUUCAGCAAGCCUUAAUCCUUGCCAAUAACACUGGUAUGAGGAAGAUCAUGGUAGCAUCUGAUUGUUUAUCAUUGAUCAAUAAGAUCAAGGGUUUAGGUUUUGAUAGGUCCCCUACUGGAGCCAUAGUCCAUGAUAUUAGAAAAUGUGCUACAAAGUUUGUAUCCUGUAGUCUUAUUCAUGUCAAUCGUUCUUGUAAUGAGGCGGCACAUGUUCUGGCCAAAUCGGCGGAGAAUGAUGUUUGGUCCUGGUGGAUUAAUGAGUUCCCUGAUGUAAUCAGGACCAUUAUAUGUAAUGAAUCAGCUAUGAAUGAAUAA
rnacentral:rRNA from 1 species